ensembl:misc_RNA Metazoa_SRP Metazoan signal recognition particle RNA
GCUGGGUGUGAUGGUGCACACCUAUAGUCCCAGCUACUUGGGAGGCUGAGGUUGGGGGAUCACUAGAGCUCAGGAGGUUGAGGCUGCAGUGAGCUGUGAUUGCACCACUGCACUCCAGCCUGGGCAACAGAGUGAGAUCCUGUCUCUA